CCUACGGGAGGCAGCAGUGGGGAAUAUUGCACAAUGGGGGAAACCCUGAUGCAGCAACGCCGCGUGAGUGAAGAAGUAUUUCGGUAUGUAAAGCUCUAUCAGCAGGGAAGAAGAUGACGGUACCUGACCAAGAAGCCCCGGCUAACUACGUGCCAGCAGCCGCGGUAAUACGUAGGGGGCAAGCGUUAUCCGGAUUUACUGGGUGUAAAGGGAGCGCAGACGGCAGUGCAAGUCUGGAGUGAAAGCCCGGGGGCCAACCCCGGAACUGCUCUGGAAACUGGGUGGCUGGAGUGCUGGAGGGGCAAGCGGAAUGCCUAGUGUAGCGGUGAAAUGCGUAGAUAUUAGGAGGAACACCAGUGGCGAAGGCGGCAUGCUGGACAGUAACUGACGUUGAGGCUCGAAAGCGUGGGGAGCAAACAGGAUUAGAUACCCCUGUAGUC
rnacentral:rRNA from 1 species